CAAUAGCGUAUAUUAAAGUUGUUGCAGUUAAAAAGCUCGUAGUUGGAUUUCUGGGAGAGUGCCAAUGUCCGCCGCGUGCGUGUUGCAGCGGCGCUCUUCCAUCCUUCUGUUAACCUUUCUGGUAUUCACUUACUGGUUUGGGGCUCAGAUAUUUUACCUUGAGAAAAUUAGAGUGUUUCAGGCAGGCAAUUGCUUGGAUACUUCAGCAUGGAAUAAUGGAAUAGGACUAUUGUCAAUUUUGUUGGUUAUUUGACUUUAGUAAUGAUUAAUAGGGACAGUUGGGGGCAUUAGUAUUUAAUUGUCAGAGGUGAAAUUCUUGGAUUUAUUAAAGACUAACUUAUGCGAAAGCAUUUGCCAAGGAUGUUUUCAUUAAUCAAGAACGAAAGUUAGGGGAUCAAAGACGAUCAGAUACCGUCCUAGUCUUAACUAUAAACUAUGCCGC
rnacentral:rRNA from 1 species